UUAGCUGGUCUGAGAGGAUGACCAGCCACACUGGAACUGAGACACGGUCCAGACUCCUACGGGAGGCAGCAGUGGGGAAUAUUGGACAAUGGGGGCAACCCUGAUCCAGCAAUGCCGCGUGUGUGAAGAAGGCCUGAGGGUUGUAAAGCACUUUCAGUGGGGAGGAGGAUUGACGGGUUAAGAGCUAGUUAAUUGGACGUUACCCACAGAAGAAGCACCGGCUAACUCCGUGCCAGCAGCCGCGGUAAUACGGAGGGUGCAAGCGUUAAUCGGAAUUACUGGGCGUAAAGGGUGCGUAGGUGGUUAAUUAAGUUAUCUGUGAAAUCCCCGGGCUCAACCUGGGCAGGUCAGAUAAAACUGUUUAACUCGAGUAUGG
rnacentral:rRNA from 1 species